GAACGCUGAAGCCCCAGCUUGCUGGGGUGGAUGAGUGGCGAACGGGUGAGAAACACGUGAGUAACCUUCCCUUGACUCUGGGAUAAGCCUGGGAAACCGGGUCUAAUACCGGAUGCGACCGGCCUCCGCAUGGUGGUUGGUGGAAAGAUUUAUCGGUCUUGGAUGGACUCGCGGCCUAUCAGCUGGUUGGUGGGGUAAUGGCCUACCAAGGCGACGACGGGUAGCCGGCCUGAGAGGGUGACCGGCCACACUGGGACUGAGACACGGCCCAGACUCCUACGGGAGGCAGCAGUGGGGAAUAUUGCACAAUGGGCGCAAGCCUGAUGCAGCGACGCCGCGUGAGGGAUGACGGCCUUCGGGUUGUAAACCUCUUUCAGUAGGGAAGAAGCGCAAGUGACGGUACCUGCAGAAGAAGCGCCGGCUAACUACGUGCCAGCAGCCGCGGUAAUACGUAGGGCGCGAGCGUUAUCCGGAAUUAUUGGGCGUAAAGAGCUCGUAGGCGGUUUGUCGCGUCUGCCGUGAAAGUCCGGGGCUUAACCCCGGAUCUGCGGUGGGUACGGGCAGACUGGAGUGCAGUAGGGGAGACUGGAAUUCCUGGUGUAGCGGUGAAAUGCGCAGAUAUCAGGAGGAACACCGAUGGCGAAGGCAGGUCUCUGGGCUGUUACUGACGCUGAGGAGCGAAAGCAUGGGGAGCGAACAGGAUUAGAU
rnacentral:rRNA from 1 species